UUAAAGCACCAGUUCUCGUAAGAUCACUGAAGUUAAGCAACGUCGUGUCAGGUCUGUACCAAGAUGGGGGAACGGUUAGGAAUACCAGGUGCUGUAAG